AUAAAGUUUUAUUUUAGCUUAAGGUUUAGUUAUUUAAUAAGUGUAUAUAUAAGUUAAUGCGGGGGGUUUUAAAAUUUUAAAUUUUAAAAUUUUUAAUUUAUGUAAUAUAAAGCUUUAAAAGUUAAUGAAAAUUAGAUUUAGUUAUUUAAUUUAAUAUUAACAGAAUUUGUGCCAGCAGUUGCGGUUACACAAAUAAUAUAAAUUAAAUUGAUCAAUAAUAAUUAAUUUGGGGGAAUUAAAAUUUUAUUGUUAUUUUUAUUGGGUGGAAUUUUAAAAAUAAUUUAAAAUUAGUGAGGGUUAAUGAAGUUAGUAAAUUUGGGGAUAAACUAGGAUUAGAUACCCUAUUAUUAAUAAUGUAUUUGUUUUAUAUUGAAUUAUUAAUAGUUAUGUUCUUUAAAAUUAAAAAAUUUGGCGGUAUUUUAGUCUAUUUAGAGGAACUUGUCCUGUAAUUGAUAGUCCACGAUUAAAAAUAUUUAUAUUAAAAAUUUAUAUAUCGUCGUAGUUGAAUAUUUUUAUAGAAUUUAAUAUUCAAGAUUUUUUAUUAUAAUACAAAUCAGAUCAAGAUAUAGUUUAUGUAUAAAAAGAGGUGAGUUACAUUAAUUUUAAUUAUAGAUUAAAAUUUGUAAAAUUUUAUGAAAUUGGAUUUAAAAGUAAUUUUAUUUAGUUUAAUUAAAAUGAUUUUAGCUCUAAAAUAUGUACAUAUCGCCCGUCGCUUUCAUAUAAAAUGAAAUAAGUCGUAACAAAGUAGUUUUAUCGGAAGAUGAGGCUAGAAAGAA
rnacentral:ncRNA from 1 species